UACCCAUGUCCAGGAUGAAGGUAAGGUAAUACUUACUGGAGGUCCGAACCCACGCACGUUGAAAAGUGCGGGGAUGAGGUGUGGGUAGCGGAGAAAUUCCAAUCGAACUUGGAGAUAGCUGGUUCUCUCCGAAAUAGCUUUAGGGCUAGCCUCGAGGUAAAGAGUCAUGGAGGUAGAGCACUGUUUGGACUAGGGGCCCUUCUCGGGUUACCGAAUUCAGAUAAACUCCGAAUGCCAUGUACUUAUACUCGGGAGUCAGACUGCGAGUGAUAAGAUCCGUAGUCGAAAGGGAAACAGCCCAGACCACCAGUUAAGGUCCCCAAAUAUAUGUUAAGUGGAAAAGGAUGUGGGGUUGCUUAGACAACCAGGAUGUUGGCUUAGAAGCAGCCACCAUUGAAAGAGUGCGUAAUAGCUCACUGGUCGAGUGACCCCGCGCCGAAAAUGUACCGGGGCUAAACAUAUUACCGAAACUGUGGAUGAACCUCUUCGGAGGUUCGUGGUAGGAGAGCGUUCUAAGGGCGGUGAAGUCAGACCGGAAGGACUGGUGGAGCGCUUAGAAGUGAGAAUGCCGGUAUGAGUAGCGAAAGAAGGGUGAGAAUCCCUUCCACCGAAUAUCUAAGGUUUCCUGAGGAAGGCUCGUCCGCUCAGGGUUAGUCGGGACCUAAGCCGAGGCCGAUAGGCGUAGGCGAUGGACAACAGGUAGAGAUUCCUGUACCAGUGCUAAUUGUUUAACCGAUGGGGUGACACAGAAGGAUAGGGAAUCGCACGAAUGGAAAUGUGCGUCCAAGCAGUGAGUGUGAGAAGUAGGCAAAUCCGCUUCUCGCGAAGCAUGAGCUGUGAUGGGGAAGGAAAUUAAGUACGGAAGUUCCUGAUUUCACGCUGUCAAGAAAAGCCUCUAGGAAGAGUAGUACUGCCCGUACCGCAAACCGACACAGGUAGAUGAGGAGAGAAUCCUAAGGUGAGCGAGAGAACUCUCGUUAAGGAACUCGGCAAAAUGACCCCGUAACUUCGGGAGAAGGGGUGCUCUAUUAGGGUGCAAGCCCGAGAGAGCCGCAGUGAAUAGGCCCAGGCGACUGUUUAGCAAAAACACAGGUCUCUGCAAAACCGUAAGGUGACGUAUAGGGGCUGACGCCUGCCCGGUGCUGGAAGGUUAAGAGGAGUGCUUAGCUUCGGCGAAGGUACGAAUUGAAGCCCCAGUAAACGGCGGCCGUAACUAUAACGGUCCUAAGGUAGCGAAAUUCCUUGUCGGGUAAGUUCCGACCCGCACGAAAGGCGCAACGAUCUGGGCACUGUCUCAACGAGAGACUCGGUGAAAUUAUAGUACCUGUGAAGAUGCAGGUUACCCGCGACAGGACGGAAAGACCCCGUGGAGCUUUACUGCAACCUGAUAUGGAAUGUUUGUACCGCUUGUACAGGAUAGGUAGGAGCCGAAGAGACGUGUGCGCUAGCAUACGAGGAGGCAAUGGUGGGAUACUACCCUGGCUGUAUGACCAUUCUAACCCGCCACGCUUAGCGCGUGGGGAGACAGUGUCAGGUGGGCAGUUUGACUGGGGCGGUCGCCUCCUAAAGAGUAACGGAGGCGCCCAAAGGUUCCCUCAGAAUGGAUGGAAAUCAUUCGCAGAGUGUAAAGGCACAAGGGAGCUUGACUGCGAGACUGACAAGUCGAGCAGGGACGAAAGUCGGGCUUAGUGAUCCGGUGGUUCCGCAUGGAAGGGCCAUCGCUCAACGGAUAAAAGCUACCCCGGGGAUAACAGGCUUAUCUCCCCCAAGAGUCCACAUCGACGGGGAGGUUUGGCACCUCGAUGUCGGCUCGUCGCAUCCUGGGGCUGUAGUCGGUCCCAAGGGUUGGGCUGUUCGCCCAUUAAAGCGGCACGCGAGCUGGGUUCAGAACGUCGUGAGACAGUUCGGUCCCUAUCCGUCGCGGGCGCAGGAAAUUUGAGAGGAGCUGUCCUUAGUACGAGAGGACCGGGAUGGACACACCGCUGGUGUACCAGUUGUUCCGCCAGGAGCAUCGCUGGGUAGCUAUGUGUGGCAGGGAUAAACGCUGAAAGCAUCUAAGCGUGAAGCCCCCCUCAAGAUGAGAUUUCCCAUUUCUUCGGAAAGUAAGAUCCCUGAAAGAUGAUCAGGUAGAUAGGUUUGGAGUGGAAGUGUAGCGAUACAUGGAGCGGACAAAUACUAAUCGAUCGAGGACUUAACCAAAA
rnacentral:rRNA from 1 species